UACGUAGGCAGCGAGCGUUGUUCGGAAUUACUGGGCGUAAAGAGUGUGUAGGCGGUGCUCUAAGUUCGGUGUGAAAUCUCCCGGCUUAACUGGGAGGGUGCGCCGGAAACUGGAGUGCUCGAACGUGGGAGAGGAAAGCGGAAUUCCCGGUGUAGCGGUGAAAUGCGUAGAUAUCGCUUGGAACGCCAACGGUGAAAACAGGUUGCUGGGGUUGUGGCCGACGCUGAGACACGAAAGCCAGGGGGAGCCAAACGGGG
rnacentral:rRNA from 1 species